UCGAAAGCCUGUCUCAGUUCGGACUGGAGUCUGCAACCCGACUCCACGAAGUUGGAUUCGCUAGUAAUCGCGCAUCAGCCAUGGCGCGGUGAAUACGUUCCCGGGCCUUGUACACACCGCCCGUCAAGCCAUGGGAGCCGGGGGCGCCUGAAGUCCGGGACCGCGAGGACCGGCCUAGGGCGAAACUGGUAACUGGGGCUAAGUCGUAACAAGGUACC
rnacentral:rRNA from 1 species